GAUGAACGCUGGCGGCGUGCCUAAUACAUGCAAGUCGAGCGAACAGACGAGGAGCUUGCUCCUCUGACGUUAGCGGCGGACGGGUGAGUAACACGUGGAUAACCUACCUAUAAGACUGGGAUAACUUCGGGAAACCGGAGCUAAUACCGGAUAAUAUAUUGAACCGCAUGGUUCAAUAGUGAAAGACGGUUUUGCUGUCACUUAUAGAUGGAUCCGCGCCGCAUUAGCUAGUUGGUAAGGUAACGGCUUACCAAGGCAACGAUGCGUAGCCGACCUGAGGGGGUGAUCGGCCACACUGGAACUGAGACACGGUCCAGACUCCUACGGGAGGCGGCAGUAGGGAAUCUUCCGCAAUGGGCGAAAGCCUGACGGAGCAACGCCGCGUGAGUGAUGAAGGUCUUCGGAUCGUAAAACUCUGUUAUUAGGGAAGAACAAAUGUGUAAGUAACUAUGCACGUCUUGACGGUACCUAAUCAGAAAGCCACGGCUAACUACGUG
rnacentral:rRNA from 1 species